GCCUCUGUGGCGCAAUGGCAGCGCGUUCGGCUGUUAACCGAAAGGUUGGUGGUUCGAGCCCACCCAGGGGCG
rnacentral:tRNA from 1 species